rnacentral:rRNA from 1 species
AUUGAACGCUGGCGGCAGGCCUAACACAUGCAAGUCGAACGAGUGGCGGACGGGUGAGUAAUGUCUGGGAAACUGCCCGAUGGAGGGGGAUCACUACUGGAAACGGUAGCUAAUACCGCAUACCAUCGGAUGUGCCCAGCUGGGAUUAGCUAGUAGGUGGGGGAAUGGCUCACCUAGGCGACGAUCCCUAGCUGGUCUGAGAGGAUGACCAGCCACACGGGAACUGAGAAACGGUCCAGACGCCAACGGGAGGCAGCAGUGGGGAAUAUUGCACAAUGGGCGCAAGCCUGAUGCAGCCAUGCCGCGGGUAUGAAGAAGGCCUUCGGGUUGGAAAGUACUUUCAGCGGGGAGGCGUUACCCGCAGAAGAAGCACCGGCUAACUCCGUGCCAGCAGCCGCGGUAAUUC